rnacentral:rRNA from 1 species
UACGAAGGGGGCUAGCGUUGCUCGGAAUUAUUGGGCGUAAAGAGCUCGUAGGCGGUGUGUCGCGUCGGCCGUGAAAACCUGCAGCUUAACUGUGGGCUUGCGGUCGAUACGGGCAUCACUGGAGUUCGGCAGGGGAGACUGGAAUUCCUGGUGUAGCGGUGAAAUGCGCAGGUAUCAGGAGGAACACCGGUGGCGAAGGCGGGUCUCUGGGCCGAUACUGACGCUGAGGAGCGAAAGCGUGGGGAGCGAACAGG